CUGUUUGGCUGUGGCAUAGGCCUGCAGCUGCAGCUCUGAUUUGACCCCUAGCCCAGGAACUUCUAUAUGCCGUGGGUAUGGCCAUAAAAAAAAAAAAAAAAGUUCUUGUUGAACACCUGCUCAGUACAGGCACGUGCUAGGUACUGGGGGAAUUGGCAUCUUGGUGGGGGCUGUUGAAGGACGAAAACAAAACAUGAAGAUGGGAUUAUAAAUUGUAUUUUGCGUUCUGAGGGAAAGCAAUGGGGCCUCUGGGAGACAUACUACCUGAUGCAUAUGAAGUACACCUGAAACUCUGUGUAUGCCUGUGGCCCAGUGCCCCAGGCACUUCCUCAUACCUCCUCCGCAAUAGCACCCCCCAACACCGGCCCCCCCACUCCUACCCCCGCAGAUUGCCGUCUCUGUUUUGAACUUCAUGUAAAUGAAAUCACAUGUUACAUUGUUUGUCUGGCUCCUUUCACCCAGCAUGUUCUAGAGAUUUGUCCAUGUUCUCCGGUGCAUCAGAGUUUGUUUCUUUUUUAUCACUAAGUAAAUCCAGUCUGUCAUAUGGAUGUACCAGUUUGUUUUAUCUGUUCACCAGUUGAUGACUAUUUGGGUUGUUUCCACUUCGGAACUUUUAUAAACCAUGCUGUAAUGAAAUUUGCUCUUUGGUCUUUGUAUGAACAUACACUUGCAUUUCCCUCUGGUAGAUUCCUAGAAGUUCUAGGUCAUAUAGUAAGUAUGGGGUUAACUUUAUAAGAAACUUCUAAACUUUUUCCAAAGUGGUAGCAUUUUGUAUCCGCAUCAACAGUGUAUGAGUCUUUUUCAUUUCAGCCUUUCCAGUGAAUGUAUUCUGGUAUCUCAAACGUGGCUUUAAUUUGCAUUUCCCUGAUGACUUCUGAGGUUAAGCACCUUUUCAUAUUUUUUUUUUUGGCCAUUGGGAUUGAUUCUUUCGUCAAGUGUUUGUCAUGUUUAUUGAGUUGUCUGUCCUUAUUGAUUUGUAAAAGUGUGUACAGAUCCUGAAUGCACUUUGUAUUGUACAGAUUGUUUUUUGCUCUGUGGUUGCCUUUUUACUUCUUUAAUGGAAUCUUUUCUUGAACAGACAUUCUUCAUUUUAAUGAAGUCCAUUUAUCAAUUGCUUUCCUUUAUGGUUAUACUUUUUGCAUCCUAUUUAAGAAAUAUUUGCCUACCCACGGUCAUGAAUAUCUUUCUUUUUUAUUUAUUUUAUUUAUUUUUUGGCCACACCUGUGGCAUGUGAAAGUUCCUAGGCCAGGGAUUGAAUCAGUGCCACAGUAGCGACCCAAGCCACUGCAGUGACAAUGCCAGAUCCUUAACCUGCUGCACCACAAAGGAACUCCCAUGAAGAUUUUUUUUUUUUUUUUUCUUUUUAGGAGCAUGCCUGCAUGUAUAUGGAGGUUCCCAGGCUAGGGGUCUAAUUGGAGCUACUGCUGCCAGCCUACACCACAGCCACAGCAACACCAGAUCUGAGCUGCGUCUGCAACCUACAGCAUAGCUCAUGGCAAUGCCAGAUCUUUAACCAACUGAGCGAGGCAAGGGAUCAAACCCACAACUCUGUGGUUCCUAGUCAAUUCAUUUCCACUGCACCAUGAUGGGAACUCCCCCAUAAAGAUCUUUCUGGUCUUUUCUUCUAGUGUCUUUAUUGUUUGGGCCAAGUCAUAUUGACGAGCCUUCACGAGAUCUAUCCUGAAUUAGUUUUUGUGUAUGAUGUGCAGUAGGGGUCAAAGUUCUUUCAGUUCUGGCACUUCAUGCUGAUGUUUUCCUAUUGGAUCCUCUUUCUCCUAUUGGCUUGCAAUGCUGCAUUCAUCCUAAACCUAGUGUCUAUCUGUGUACUUCUGGACCCUCUUCUGUUCCAUUGGCUUAUGUGUUUGUCCUUAUGCCAACACCACAUUUUUUUUUUUUUUUUUUUUUAGGCCACACUCACAUGGAAGUUCCCAGUGUAGGGGUUGAAUCGGAGCUACAGUUACCAGCCUACACCACAGCCAUAGCCAUGCGGGAUCUGAGCUGCAUCUGUGACCUACACCACAGCUCAUGGCAAAACACCAGAUCGAUCCUUAACCCACUGAGCACAGCCAGGGAUUGAACCUGUGUCCUCAUGGAUCCUAGUUGGGUUUGUUACCACUGAGCCACAGUGGAAACCUCCAACACUACCCUCUUAAUCACAGAAGUUUCACAGUGAACCUUGAGGAGAUGACUUUUUUAUUUUUUUCCUGGCGUACAGGUGACUUACAGUGUUGUGUUAGUUUCAGGUGUACAGCAAAGUGAAUCAGCCAUACAUAAACAUAUAUGUCCGUUCUUCUUCAGAUUCUUUCCCUGUAUAGGCUAUAACAGAGUACUGAGUACCUUUCCCCAAGCUAUAUAGUAGGUUCUUGUUACCACUGAUUGAUUUUGUAUACAGUAAUGUGUAUGUGCCAGUCCCAACAUCCCAAUCCAUCUCUCCCCUCAACGUUUCCCUUUUGAAAUAUCUGAGUCUGUUUCUGUUUUGCGAAUAAGUUCUUUUGUAUCUCUCUCUCUUUUUUCUUUUUCUUUUUCUUUUUUUCCCUGCACCCCUUGUAAUAUGGAAGUUCCUAGGCUAGGAAUUGAACCUGUACCACAGUAGUGACUCACGUCACUGGGGCAGUUACAAUGCCAGAUCCUUAACCUGUUGCACCACAAGAGAACUCCCUGUAUCAUUUUAAAAAAUUGGAUUCUAAAUAUCAGUGAUCUCAUAUGAUAUCUGUCUUUGUCUUAUAUAAUUCACUUAGUAUGAUAAUCUCUGGGUCCAUCCAUGUUGCUGCAAAUGGCAUUAUUUCGUUCUUUUUUAUGGCUGAGUAAUAUUCCAUCGUAUAUAUGUACCACAUCAUCUUUAUCCAGUCUUCUGUUGAUGGAUAUUUAGGUUGGCUGUUGUAAAUAAUGCUGCAAUGAACAUUGGGGUGCAUAUAUCCUUUCAAAUUAUGGUUUUCUCUGAGUAUAUCCCCAGGAGUGGGAUUGCUGGAUCAUAUGGUAGUUCUAUAUUUAGUUUUUUAAGAAACCUUCACACUGCUCUCCAUAGUGAUUGCACCAACGUACAUUCCCAUGAACAGUGUAAGAGGGUUCCCUUUUCUCCACACCCUCUCCAGCGUUUAUUGUUUGUAGACUUUUUGAUGAUGGCCAUUCUGACUGAUGUGAGGUUAUAUCUUAUUAUAGUUUAGAUUUGCAUUUCUCUAAUAAUUACUGAUGUUGAGCAUCUUUUCAUGUGUUUUUGGCCAUCUGUAUGGCUUCUUUGGCGGAAUGUCUGUUUAGAUUUUAUGGCCAUUUGGUGAUUGGGUUGUUUGUUUUUUUGAUAUAAAGGUGUAUGAGAUGUUUGUAUAUUUUGGAAUGAGGAGGUGGCUUUUGAACUGAGUUCUUAAUAUUCCUAGGCCAGGGGUUGAAUCCAACCAAGCCACAUCUGUGGCAACUCUGGAUCCCUUAACCCAUUGCCCUGGGCCAGGGAUCGAACCUGUGCCUCUGCAGUUGGACUUUUUUCUUUAUUUUUUAUUUUUUGUCUUUUUGCCUUUUCUAGGGCCGCUCCCAUGGGAUAUGGAGGUUCCCAGGCUAGGGGUCCAAUCGGGGCUGUAGCCACCAGCCUACACCAGAGCCACGGCAACGUGGGAUCCAAGCCGCGUCUGCAACCUACACCACAGCUCAUGGCAACGCCGGAUCCUUAACCCAUCAAGCAAGGCCAGGGACUGAACCCGCAACCUCAUGGUUCCUAGUCAGAUUUGUUAACUACUGUGCCAUGACAGGAACUCCUAUUUUUUGUCUUUUUAAGGCUGCACUUGUGGCAUAUGGCAGUUCCCAGGCUAUGGGUCGAAUCAGAGCUGUAGCUGCUGGCCUAUGCCACAGCAAUGCUAUAUCC
rnacentral:lncRNA from 1 species